AUUGAACGCUGGCGGCAUGCUUUACACAUGCAAGUCGAACGGCAGCACGGGUGCUUGCACCUGGUGGCGAGUGGCGAACGGGUGAGUAAUGCAUCGGAACGUGCCCAUGAGUGGGGGAUAGCCCGGCGAAAGCCGGAUUAAUACCGCAUACGCCCUUAGGGGGAAAGCGGGGGAUCUUCGGACCUCGCGCUAUUGGAGCGGCCGAUGUCGGAUUAGCUAGUAGGUGAGGUAAAGGCUCACCUAGGCGACGAUCCGUAGCUGGUCUGAGAGGAUGAUCAGCCACACUGGGACUGAGACACGGCCCAGACUCCUACGGGAGGCAGCAGUGGGGAAUUUUGGACAAUGGGCGCAAGCCUGAUCCAGCCAUGCCGCGUGAGUGAAGAAGGCCUCGGUUGUAAGCUCUUCUAGUGGAAGAAAGUAGACGCUGUUAAUAG
rnacentral:rRNA from 1 species